GUGUUCGCUUCUGCAGCACAUAUACUAAAAUUGGAACAAUACAGAGAUUAGCAUGGCCCCCAUGCAAGGAUGACACGCAAAUUCGUGAAGCAUUCCAUAUUUUU
ensembl:snRNA U6 U6 spliceosomal RNA